rnacentral:rRNA from 1 species
UGGGGAAUUUUGGACAAUGGGCGAAAGCCUGAUCCAGCAAUGCCGCGUGUGUGAAGAAGGCCUUCGGGUUGUAAAGCACUUUUGUCCGGAAAGAAAUCCUUGGCUCUAAUACAGUCGGGGGAUGACGGUACCGGAAGAAUAAGCACCGGCUAACUACGUGCCAGCAGCCGCGGUAAUACGUAGGGUGCAAGCGUUAAUCGGAAUUACUGGGCGUAAAGCGUGCGCAGGCGGUUUGCUAAGACCGAUGUGAAAUCCCCGGGCUCAACCUGGGAACUGCAUUGGUGACUGGCAGGCUAGAGUAUGGCAGAGGGGGGUAGAAUUCCACGUGUAGCAGUGAAAUGCGUAGAGAUGUGGAGGAAUACCGAUGGCGAAGGCAGCCCCCCUGGGCCAAUACUGACGCUCAUGCACGAAAGCGUGGGGAGCAAAACAGGAUUAGAUACCCUGGUAGUCCACGCCCUAAACGAUGUCAACUAGUUGUUGGGGAUUCAUUUCCUUAGUAACGUAGCUAGCGCGUGAAGUUGACCGCCUGGGGGGUACGGUCGCAAGAUUAAAACUUAAAUGAAUUGACGGGGUCAUAGCUGUUUCCU